CCCCACCCGCCGCACCACCACCACCACCCGGACCCCGCCGCCGCCGCCAUACAGCAGCCCAAUCUGGAAGGAGGAGCUGGAUUCGGCACGACCGUGGAGCUGCAGUUCUGCGCCUCCUGCUCGUACAAGGGAAAUGCAAUGACCAUGAAGCGCAUGCUGGAAACAUCAUUUCCUGGCAUUAAUGUUUUCUUGCAUAAUUAUCCGCCAGCUUUCCCCAAACGGGUACUGAGCAAAAUCAUGCCAGUUAUUCAAGUUGGAGCCAUUGCAACAAUAAUGGCUGGUGACCAGAUUUUCCCCAGACUUGGCAUUACUCCACCUCCAUUGUUUUACUCGUUGCGUGCCAAUAGAUUUGGAACCAUGGCGACAAUUUGGCUCAUUGGCAAUUUUGCCCAAUCUUUCCUACAAAGUUCUGGUGCCUUUGAAGUUUACUGCAAUGGAGAUUUGGUUUUCUCGAAGUUAGCCGAACAGAGGUUCCCUAGCGAGUUUGAGCUGCGCGAUCUCAUCGGCAGCAGGCUGCCACCUUCUCCAUUCGGGAAAAACAUGGGAAACGUCUUGUCUUAGUCGAUGAUCUCAGAACAUCGGACGCAGCGCCGAUGUAUCUCUAGUUCUCUACUAAGGUAUUUUAUGGUUAGGUAGCUGAUGUUGAUCCUAUCGAACUCCACAGCUUGCCUAUAAACACUAGCUUCCGAAUAUGUGCGUGGUUUGUAAAUGCCCUAAAAAUAACUUGCACGAGACAGUGACUGACAGUGCGAUGCUGCUGUAUGAACACCUCCCACUAUAAUCGUGAUUGCCUGAUGCUGCUAUGCUACUGGCAAAAGU
rnacentral:rRNA from 1 species